AGAGUUUGAUCCUGGCUCAGAAUGAACGUUGGCGGCGUGGAUCAGGCAUGCAAGUCGAACGAAUCCCGCCUGGGUAACCGGGCGGGGGAAGUGGCGAAAGGGGCAGUAAGGCAUGGGUAACCUGCCCCGGACCCUGGGAUAGCCUCUCUAACGAGUGGGUAAUACCAGACGUCGUAUCCGGGUGGCAUCACCUGGCUACGGAAGCUAAGGCGGUCCGGGAGGGGCUCAUGUGGUAUUAGCUAGUUGGUGGGGUGAUGGCCCACCAAGGCGAAGAUGCCUAGCGGGUGUGAGAGCACGACCCGCGCCACUGGCACUGUGACACUGGCCAGACUCCUACGGGAGGCUGCAGUCGAGGAGCUUCGGCAAUGGGCGAAAGCCUGACCGAGCGACGCCGCGUGUGCGAUGAAGGCCUUCGGGUUGUAAAGCACUGUCGUGGGGGAGAAAGGCCCGAAAGGGCUUGAUCGACCCCAGGAGGAAGCUCGGGCUAAGUUCGUGCCAGCCGCCGCGGUAAUUC
rnacentral:rRNA from 1 species